rnacentral:rRNA from 1 species
UGAAGUUAGGCUCGCAUACCUGCUGAAUUUAAGCAUAUAAGUAAGCGGCGGACAAUAAACUAAACAGGACCCCCAUAGUAAUGGCGAAUGAGCAGGGAUGAGCUCAGCGUGGAAAUUGGGGCCUGAGGCCCUGACUUGUAGGCUGGUGAGGUGUUGCCAACAGAGGCGCAGAUGUAAGUCUUUUUGGAAAAGAGCAUCAAUGAGGGUGAGAAUCCUGCUUGCCAUUUGCAGACCCCUGUGCACGGUGUGCCCACAUCGAGUCACGUUCCUUGGGAUUGGAGCGCAAAGUGGGUGGUAACUUUCAUCUGAAGCUAAAUAUUGGUUGAAGACCGAUAGGAAACAAGUACCAUGAGGGAAAGAUGAAAAGGACUUUGGAAAGAGAGUUAAAAGUGCCUGAAAUUGCUGAAAGGGAAGCGAAUGGAGCCAGUGUGCCCGGGCGAGAUUGUCAUAUGUGAUAAUGAUCGGUUGCUGCUUCAUCGUAAGUGUUCUUGCAAUCAUUGAUCUAUGAGUGUGUGGUGUGUCUUGCCUUGAAUGUCAUCGCGGGCUUCUGUAUUACGACAAUUCAAAGUUCAGGGUAUUAUGUUUGUGAAGGUAUGAAUGUUCUUUGCUAUGCUUGUGCGCAAGCUUCUCUUGACUGUGUGUUUGCUGUGUGGCGCCCCAACACAGCGGGGCCACACACCAUUUCUACACAGCUGAUGACUAAAUGAUUCUAUUCGACCCGUCUUGAAACACGGACCAAGAA